rnacentral:snRNA from 1 species
AUGUGAGGGCGAUCUGGCUGUGGCAUCUGUCACCCCAUUGAUCGCCAGGGUUGAUUCGGCUGAUCUGGCUGGCUAGGCAGGUGUCCCCUUCCUCCCUCACCACUCCAUGUGCGUCCCUCCCGAAGCUGCGUGCUGGGUCGAAGUGGACGACCAUCCGGGAUAGAGGAGGACCAUUCUUCGGUCAAGGGUAUACGAGUAGCUGCGCUCCCCCGCUAGAACCUCCAAACAAGCUCUCAAGGUCCAUAGUGGCUUUUUAUUUCAGGAUCCUGUACUCAUUGGCUAGAUUUUGC